AGAGUUUGAUCCUGGCUCAGAACGAACGCUGGCGGCAGGCUUAACACAUGCAAGUCGAACGCACCGCAAGGUGAGUGGCAGACGGGUGAGUAACGCGUGGGAACCUUCCCUUUGGUACGGAAUAACUUCGGGAAACCGAAGCUAAUACCGUAUAUCUCCUGCGGGAGAAAGAUUUAUCGCCAAAGGAUGGGCCCGCGUUGGAUUAGCUAGUUGGUGUGGUAAUGGCGCACCAAGGCGACGAUCCAUAGCUGGUCUGAGAGGAUGAUCAGCCACACUGGGACUGAGACACGGCCCAGACUCCUACGGGAGGCAGCAGUGGGGAAUAUUGGACAAUGGGGGCAACCCUGAUCCAGCCAUGCCGCGUGAGUGAAGAAGGCCUUAGGGUUGUAAAGCUCUUUUGGCGGGGACGAUAAUGACGGUACCCGCAGAAUAAGCCCCGGCUAACUUCGUGCCAGCAGCCGCGGUAAU
rnacentral:rRNA from 1 species